AGGUAUGAGUUGUUGGCCUGA
rnacentral:siRNA from 1 species